UACGUAGGGUGCGAGCGUUAAUCGGAAUUACUGGGCGUAAAGCGUGCGCAGGCGGUUUUGUAAGUCAGAUGUGAAAUCCCCGGGCUUAACCUGGGAAUGGCAUUUGGGACUGCAAGGCUUGAGUGCGGCAGAGGAGACUGGAAUUCCCGGUGUAGCAGUGAAAUGCGUAGAUAUCAGGAGGAAUACCGAUGGCGAAGGCAGGUCUCUGGGCUGACACUGACGCUCAUGCACGAAAGCGUGGGGAGCAAACAGG
rnacentral:rRNA from 1 species